ACACUCCUACGGGAGGCAGCAGUGGGGAAUAUUGCACAAUGGGCGCAAGCCUGAUGCAGCCAUGCCGCGUGUAUGAAGAAGGCCUUCGGGUUGUAAAGUACUUUCAGCGGGGAGGAAGGCAAUACGGUUAAUAACCGUGUUGAUUGACGUUACCCGCAGAAGAAGCACCGGCUAACUCCGUGCCAGCAGCCGCGGUAAUACGGAGGGUGCAAGCGUUAAUCGGAAUUACUGGGCGUAAAGCGCACGCAGGCGGUCUGUCAAGUCGGAUGUGAAAUCCCCGGGCUCAACCUGGGAACUGCAUUCGAAACUGGCAGGCUUGAGUCUUGUAGAGGGGGGUAGAAUUCCAGGUGUAGCGGUGAAAUGCGUAGAGAUCUGGAGGAAUACCGGUGGCGAAGGCGGCCCCCUGGACAAAGACUGACGCUCAGGUGCGAAAGCGUGGGGAGCAAACAGGAUUAGAUACCCGUGUAGUCCCA
rnacentral:rRNA from 1 species